GCUUGGAUUUAUGAUAGGCCUGGCCCUGUGGGUGUGUCCCAUGCCAGAGCAAACCAUAGCCCUGAACCAUUGCCUUGCCUCCUAACCUGUAGCCUUCCGGCACUGAAGCAGGUUGCACAGGA
rnacentral:snoRNA from 1 species